GGAUCCAGACUUUGAUUCUGGCUCAGGACGAACGCUGGCGGCGCGCCUAACACAUGCAAGUCGAACGAGAGAGAGGGAGCUUGCUUCCUCAAUCGAGUGGCGAACGGGUGAGUAACGCGUGAGGAACCUGCCUCAAAGAGGGGGACAACAGUUGGAAACGACUGCUAAUACCGCAUAAGCCCACGGCUCGGCAUCGAGCAGAGGGAAAAGGAGCAAUCCGCUUUGAGAUGGCCUCGCGUCCGAUUAGCUAGCUGGUGAGGUAAUGGCCCACCAAGGCGACGAUCGGUAGCCGGACUGAGAGGUUGAACGGCCACAUUGGGACUGAGACACGGCCCAGACUCCUACGGGAGGCAGCAGUGGGGAAUAUUGCACAAUGGGGGAAACCCUGAUGCAGCGACGCCGCGUGGAGGAAGAAGGUCUUCGGAUUGUAAACUCCUGUUGUUGAGGAAGAUAAUGACGGUACUCAACAAGGAAGUGACGGCUAACUACGUGCCAGCAGCCGCGGUAAAACGUAGGUCACAAGCGUUGUCCGGAAUUACUGGGUGUAAAGGGAGCGCAGGCGGGCGAUCAAGUUGGAAGUGAAAUCCAUGGGCUCAACCCAUGAACUGCUUUCAAAACUGAUUGUCUUGAGUAGUGCAGAGGUAGGCGGAAUUCCCGGUGUAGCGGUGGAAUGCGUAGAUAUCGGGAGGAACACCAGUGGCGAAGGCGGCCUACUGGGCACCAACUGACGCUGAGGCUCGAAAGUGUGGGUAGCAAACAGGAUUAGAUACCCUGGUAGUCCACACCGUAAACGAUGAUUACUAGGUGUUGGAGGAUUGACCCCUUCAGUGCCGCAGUUAACACAAUAAGUAAUCCACCUGGGGAGUACGACC
rnacentral:rRNA from 1 species